GCGGGUAUGGCGGAAUUGGCAGACGCGAUGGAUUUAGGUUCCAUUACCAAUAAGGCGUGCAGGUUCAAGUCCUGUUACCCGCA
rnacentral:tRNA from 1 species